ACCUUCGUAGCUUAACGGAAAAGCACCGCUAGCGGGAGAUAGAGGUUCAAUUCCUCUCGAAGACA
rfam:Phytophthora megakarya strain zdho120 scaffold_2662, whole genome shotgun sequence.